ensembl:lncRNA
AUAGCAUAUUCCUGAUCAGGGCAGUCUUCCUUUACCUGGACUGUGAACACCUGAGGGCUGGGGACAAUACCUGAGUCAUCCUUUUAUUUCCAUACCUAGCACAGGCCUGAUUCGUGGUAGGCCUUCAAUAAAUGUCGAGUAUGCCAAUCAACGAUAAUCAAGGAAUACCACAAAUUCAGAGUUCAGCCAAAUCUCUUCCCCUUUCUGGGCCUCAGUUUCUCUGUGUAAAUCAGAUAUGAAAACACCUGCCAUCAGAAUUUAUAAUGCUGUUGGUGCUGCAAAAGGGAGACUGUGCUUGGGGACCUGUUUUAGAAUUCGCCAUGUGACGGACCUCAGGCAACCAGCGUCUUCUACUUUGCCCACUGUCGCACUCCACAUCCGUGCCUCUGCGGCACUUCGUGUACAUUGUCUUACUCAACACUGGGAUAGGUAUUGUUGUGAUUAUGCCCAUUUAACAGAUGAGGCUGUUGAGGCUUGGAGAGGCCAAGAAACUUUGAAGUCAGAUCAAUUGAGAUCGAAAUCCUGGCUCUGCCGUGUAAACUUGGGAAAGUUUACUUCACCUCUGGGAACCUCUCAAAGAUGAGGAGAUUAAACGAGAUAAAGCAUGGAAAGCCCCUGGCACACAGGAGGUCAUUGGUGGUGUGAUUCUCUUCGUUGCUCAAGCCAGGAAGUUAGAGUGAGAUUCUGUUCUUUCUAUCAACCAUGCUGAUGCCUUUACGUUAGUUAACAAAAAAGAUUACAGUUCUGCUUGGACUAUGGUGCUUCAACAUAUGUAAGGAAGAUUUCAACUGCGCAUUUUGAAACUUGCAACGUUCAGAAUAACUAAAUAAUCAAUGAGCUGCUGUGGCCUUCCCAGGAAGAUAAUGUGCCAUUUCCUUCCCCCGCCUGCCUCCUAGUGGUGAAUGUGGGCACUGCAGGCUCAGCAUCCCCGCCCCCUCCCUCAACCUUCCAUCCAGGAGAGCCAGGCUCCCGGCUGCCUCUCAGGCCAUCUAGUGACUGUUGACUGCAGAGCAAGAAAGGAGGAGCGUGUGCCAAGAAAAUGAAUGAAGACGUCCUGCCUAGACCUCACGCCCUGCUCCAUCACUCACUGGCUGUGCGGCCUUGGGGGUAUCAUUCCCUGAAUGUUAGUUUCCAUGUUGGUAAAAACGGGUAAGACACCUACCUUGGAGAAUUUUGGGGGAUGAAUAUGCUAACUGAGGCAAAACACCUAGCAAAGGGCGGAUGCUCCAUAAAAUAUAGCUCCUCUGCUAAUAAAAUGAAAAAUUAAAUAGCACAACUAAAUUAUUACAGACUGGCUCACAGUUUCAUAGCAGAGUAAAGGGCCACGGGGCAGGUCAGUUUUGAGGGCAGGGGAAGAAGGUCAAAGGGCAUUGUUAGGACAAUCCAGGGCUGGGGCACAGCCGGGGAGUGUGGGUGCAGAGUCAAGAAGAGAUUCAAGAGCGUACCAAUGACCUUGAGAAGUGACCUCUGCUUGUGUUGUUAGGACACAGACAUGUGGAGGUUGCAGGCCACAGCAGAGGAGGGGACAUGAACAACAGCAAGUGUUCCAGGAAGGACUGUGGACCAGGCCAGUCAAGGAGUGCUCCCUGGAGGAAGGGAUAUUUAAAGCUGGGGUAGGUUCUGGAGAGUGAGGCGGGGAUCGAGGGGGUGUUCCAGAUCAGGGAGGGAAAGAAAGAGGAAGCACAAGCCAAGGUCCAAGGGCUUUGAGAAGGAGACCAGCUGGAGAGAAGGCAGAGCAGGAGGUCAGGCCAGACCACCCUGGGGCCAGGAGCUUCACCGGCACCCCCUGGAUGGGGAGGAGCCUGAGAAAAUGUUCCAACAGGGCCUGACAAGGGCAGAGGCUGAGCACAGCAGCUUAACUUGACAUCUCUGUGCAGAUUGGAUGGGAAGAAUGACUAGAUUUGGUUAAAUGCACAAAAAAUUCAAAGCCACAAUCCCUGAAGCCAGUAUGGGGUAGGAACAGCAAAGGGACACAGCUGUCUCCUGGCCCCGGCUCUUUUCAGCAGGCUCAGCGGCAGCUCCCCUCACUGAGAGGCAGCAAGGUGCAGUGCAGGGCCAGCCCUAGACCUGCUGAGCACCACGACUGCCUGGGGACUGGGGCACCUUGAAAAACCAACUCCCCCACUCCAGCCCACAGCAGCUGAAGUAGGAUUUCUGGGGUUGGGCCCUGGAAUCAGAAUUGUUAGUAGCUCUGCAGGUGAUAGAGCUACUCCUCCAGGCUGAGGAUAAUCCGUGAACAGGGAAAGAAUGGGAAUUUGGAGAAGGAUGGACCCAGAGCCAAUGCCAGGCCCAUUCCUUUUGGGCUGUGCUGCCCUGGGCAAGUCACUUCACCACUCUGAGUCCCAGGGUCUCACCUAUAAAACAGGCAUGAAAAACUCUCCCCAAAGAAUGUUGGAGGCUCCCAGCACUGGGCCAGGACAUGGCAGGUGCUUAGUGGAUGGAAGACUAAACCCAGGGGUGCCUGGGGCUCUGACUGCCCCUUCCUGCGCUCCACACACUCAGCCUGUGAGUUGAUAAUUAAAUCUCCCCAAGAAGAAGUGGCUAGAAAUGAUUUUGGAGGAAAUGAGGCCAGUCCCCAGGAAGGGAUGGCUGCAGCAGAUUAAUGUCAAGGUUUGCCCUGGGUUUUCCCUUGCCCAUCACGCCAUCCCAGCUGGCCCUGGAAGAAGUAGUGGGGGGCAGACAGGGCACGUCCUAGGGGCCUCAACGUCCCUUCAGGGGCUCUUCCUCCCUCCGACCAGCCUCCAGGCGCCCUCACCUGCCCCCUCCCCUUUCGUCUCAGGCAAGCCAGGGCUAGCUCCCACGAGAGCGGCCAGCAUUCUGUGGUUUCGGAGCCCCCGGGGACCCCAAGGUCUCUGGGUGGUUGUAGGGUGAUCAUUUACGGUGGCUGAAUGGGGGCCUAGAGGUCAAGUGUGGAUCCUGCGGUCAGUGAGGAGGAAGGAACGACAGGAUUGGAUUGCUGGCUGGGUAUAAGGAGGGAUGAGGGCAUUGAAGGUGACGCCCUGGUUUUGGGCCUGGACAAGGGGUGAGCCAAGGAGGGAGUAGGAGAAAGGAGUGUGCCUGCUACUGUGGCAGGACACACAGGAAGAGCAGAUUUGGGGUGGGAGAAGAUCCUCAGCUUCCUAAUGGGGAGGAGAAUGUAUCAGAACUCCUUCCAGCCCCCUGGCUCAACAGAUUCAAAGUGGCUUAGACACAGCGCAUUCUGUUUUCUGCGUUUGUUUUUCUUCUCCCAUGAAGCAGUCCAGGUGGGUGUCCAGGGCAGGUACUGAGCCCCACCAAGUUAUCAAGGAUCCAGACGGCUCCCAUCUUUCUGCUCCAGUGCACGUGACUGCCGCCCUUCCCAUCACCUCAGGAUCCAAGAUGGCAGUGGAGUCGGGCAUCACGUGUCUGUCCAGUCGGUGAACAGGAGGAAGGGGAGGGGGAGACGGGACGAGACUGCGAGUCAAGUGAGCUUCUUUCAAGUAAUCUCAGAAGUCCCCCAUGACACCUUCACAUCUGUUGGGAAGAACCAAGUCACAUGGCCAUUACUAC